rnacentral:rRNA from 1 species
GAUGAACGCUGGCGGUGUGCCUUAGGCAUGCAAGUCGAACGGUCCCUUCGGGGACAGUGGCAGACGGGUGAGUAACACGUAGGAAUCUACCCAAUAGUGGGGAAUAGCCUUCCGAAAGGAGGGGUAAUACCGCAUAAUCCCGCAAGGGCAAAGCAUUUAUGCGCUAAUGGAGGAGCCUGCGCGCUAUCAGUUAGUUGGUGGGGUAACUGCCUACCAAGACUAUGACGGCUAGCCGAUGUGAGAGCAUGAUCGGCCACAAGGUUACUGAGACACGGAACCUACACCUACGGGUGGCAGCAACCGGGAAUUUUGCGCAAUGGACGAAAGUCUGACGCAGCGACACCGCGUGUGGGAAGACGCUUUUCGGAGUGUAAACCACUGUGGCGGGGGAUGAAUAAUGACAGUACCCCGCUAGAAAGCACCUGCUAACCACG